AGGUAAGGUUCUUGUCUUAGAGUUGCCGUAGACGUAUGGAGCUGUUAUUUUCCCUUUUUAUUUUUGUCUUUUAAUUUUCUGCAUCUGUUGGUGCAGUUUACAUUUAUUUUUAAUUAAUAUGAAUUAAAAUGUUGCUUUUAGAUGGAUUCUCCCCUCUAGGCCUCAGCCACGUGUUAGAAUGUAGCUGGUUAAAGCAGCCCUGCUGCACCUUCAUUCAGGCCAGAAAUCAGUGCUUCCCAUGGAUGAAUGAUGUAACUUUGUGUUGUUAGGGACAUCUGAGUAAAUGUGAUGAGAUACGACACUCUGACUCCAUGGGAAAGUUUCUGUGACCACAGGCGAGGCUGGCUAUGCUGGCUGCGCAGCUCCUGCUAGGAGCAGGCCGCAUUUAGAAUAGCCCAAUCAAGUUUUCACUUAACUUGAAAGUAUGUUCUAAUAGUUUUCUCCUUCUUUUAAGGAAGCAAUGGAUCGCUUACCUUAUGUGAAUCUCCACCAAAUGUGUUGGUUUUCGGGUAACCCAGGUUCCUGAAGGAGGUACCGCCACCAAUCUGGAUGACAUGCAGGUUCUUUGCCUCUCCUGCCUUCUGAUCCAGGUCUUGGAUCAGCUAUAGGAACCAGAGUCUGGAGCCAGUGGAUGAAGAAAUGGACAUCUCCCUGUAGCUCUGCAGCUUUUUAUUCACAGAGCCUCUGGGGUGUGACUCUUCCUGAAGAACUGAAGACAUUUGGAAACAUGGUUGACCAAUUCUGAACUGCAACUUGAAAUUAAGAACUCCAGUUUUGGAAAUCAUCUCAUGUGAAGGUGCAGAGAUGAAAGUGGGAGACCAUGGAGUAUGGUGACCUGGAUGGACCGAGUUGGUGGAGUUUCAAGCAGUGAUGGACUGGCAUAAAAAUUUACAAUAAAUCUACACUACUAAAAAAAAUUAAAGGAACUUUUUUU